CUGCUUCUUGUUCUGCAAAACUGCACAAAAAAUAUUAAAUGUCAACGAAUCCUACAGUUUAAUGCAUUUCUUUAAUUUCAAAAGAUAAAACAACUGAUCAGUUAAACAGCAUAGACACAUUUGUAGGAACACCCCUGCUUACAACACUUUGUCUUUGGAGGACAUGAUAAAUCAUCGUUACAAUAUCUCUGGUAAUGUCCAUAACAGUUGGAAUUAGGACCUGGAUCAACUGGACAAUGGGGAACUGAAAAAGAAA
rnacentral:lncRNA from 1 species